rnacentral:rRNA from 1 species
GCAUUGGCAGGCUAUACAGAAGAGCCAGAACAUCUGCAUGUACUGGGUUGAUGCACCGGAAGACACGACGGUGGAAGUGGUAAUCAUCAGGACCUGAGAAGGCCGGGACGGGAAAGAUUAUGAAACUGGUUGACUGCUAUACCGAAUUGAUUACUUACACGGCUUACCUGGCUGAGAACGUCAACACGCAGCAGUUGCCCUUUGACGAAGUGUCCGCAAAGUAUCAGGAACUGCUGUCGCGCGCGGAGGAAAGCGGAAGCCGCGGAGAGUUUUCAGAAUACGAAAGGCGGGAGGGC